CUGGAAAUGCUCUGAAGCGCCGCGUCUGUACGACGCGGCUACUCGAUGUCGUCGUCCGGGACGAUGUCGCCGUCCUCGGAUUC
rnacentral:sRNA from 1 species